rnacentral:lncRNA from 1 species
AAAGGAAGAGGAAGAAGAAGAAGAAAAAGAAAGGAAAAGAAAUCUCGGUUGCACUUCCAGCUGAAGGGAAAAACAUAGAUCUCCUUCCCCUCUACGCAAGGACCUCGAUUUUCAAAAAGAAAAAGGUAAAUAUCCAUCCCUAUCUAGUCUUUUGAUGACAUUAGGCUAUACAAAGGGUGAAUAUAGUCUAGAGGGGUCGGAUAAGGGUUGUAGAGGCGGUUAAAAGAAGAAGAAUCGGAUUUUGGCAAAUUUUUCCG